rnacentral:tmRNA from 1 species
GGGGGUGUACUGGUUUCGACGGGAUUGCAGGUGAUCAGGUAAGCGAGCCGCAGCCCCGGGCUGCGUUAAAACCGGGAAAUUAAAAUUGAACUGACACUAACAGUUAUUCUUUCGCUGCCUAAUUAGGCGCGCGUCAGCCCGACGAUCCCGCUGCGUCGGUCACUGGCGUCGAAUUAGCGGGCAAUGUUUUCGCCUAAGCUUUGCAUCGAAAACACAUUUAUGAAGCUACCGAUUCGCUGAGCCCGGCUGUGGGCGCUUUGAAGAGGGAAAUUUAAAACGCAGCCUUCGCUCGGAGAAAGCCUGGUUGUCUCUUUUUCGGACAGGAGUUCGAUUCUCCUCACCUCCACCA